rnacentral:lncRNA from 1 species
AGCAGACCCUUGCUUUAUUCACUCAAUAGUUUUUUCCAAAGGCUUUUUAAGAAGAGGACUUUGGAGUUGUAAAGAAUUUAGAUACGUGGAAAUGAGAGAAAGGCCUUCCAGGCAGAGGAAACAGGAUGAACAAAGUCUUGGCAGGAAGCAUGGUUAUGUCCCCUGAAGCCCUGGUCCACAUGAAGCUCUUCCUGCUUUUCUUCAGAGGAAGAUGCAGGAGCUGGUUAAUGGAAUGGAUUUUGCAUUCAGACAUCUCUUGGGGCUGCCUGUAGGUGGAUAUGUUCAUGGAAGACGGUGAAAAAGACAAGAAUAGGAUUUGCUGUAUAGAAUCACUAUAGUCACCAUCACACUGAGUAUCAACAACAUCUCUUGUUAUCCUCACAACUGUGCAAAACAGGUAAGGAGGAGAGUAUGACACCGUAUUAGUCCAUUCUCACACAGCUAUAAAAAAUACCUGAGACUAGGUAAUUUAUAAAGAAAAGAGGUUUAAUUGGCUCACAGUUCCACAGGCUGUACAGGAAGCAUGAUGCUGGCAUCUGCUUAGCUU